rnacentral:rRNA from 1 species
GACGAACGCUGGCGGCGUGCUUAACACAUGCAAGUCGAACGGAAAGGCCCUGCUUUUGUGGGGUGCUCGAGUGGCGAACGGGUGAGUAACACGUGAGUAACCUGCCCUUGACUUUGGGAUAACUUCAGGAAACGGGGGCUAAUACCGGAUAGGAGCUCCUGCUGCAUGGUGGGGGUUGGAAAGUUUCGGCGGGUGGGGAUGGACUCGCGGCUUAUCAGCUUGUUGGUGGGGUAGGGGCUUACCAAGGCGUUGGCGGGUAGCCGGCCUGGGAGGGUGGCCGGCCACAUUGGGACUGAGGUACGGCCCAGACUCCUACGGGAGGCAGCAGUGGGGAAUCUUGCACAAUGGGCGGAAGCCUGAUGCAGCAACGCCGCGUGCGGAAUGACGGCCUUCGGGUUGUAAACCGCUUUCGCCUGUGACGAAGCGUGAGUGACGGUAAUGGGUAAAGAAGCACCGGCUAACUACGUG